rnacentral:pre_miRNA from 1 species
AAAUUGACUCUAGUAGGGAGUCCUUUAAUGAACGACUCCCUAACGGAGUCAGAUUGA